rnacentral:rRNA from 1 species
UACGUAGGGGGCAAGCGUUGUCCGGAAUCAUUGGGCGUAAAGCGCGUGUAGGCGGCUCAGUAAGUCUGUUCUGAAAGUCCAAGGCUCAACCUUGGGAUGCGGAUGGAUACUGCUGGGCUCGAGUCCGGAAGAGGCGAGUGGAAUUCCUGGUGUAGCGGUGAAAUGCGCAGAUAUCAGGAGGAACACCGGUGGCGAAGGCGGGACUCUGGGCCGAUACUGACGCUGAGGAGCGAAAGCGUGGGGAGCAAACAGG